GCCAAGCUGGCUCAGUUAGUAGAGCAUGACACUCUUAUUCUCAGGAUUGUGGGUUUGAGACCUAGGUUGCGUG